rnacentral:rRNA from 1 species
AUUGAACGCUGGCGGCAUGCCUUACACAUGCAAGUCGAACGGCAGCACGGGAGCAAUCCUGGUGGCGAGUGGCGAACGGGUGAGUAAAGUAUCGGAACGUGCCCAGUCGUGGGGGAUAACGUAGCGAAAGUUAGGCUAGUACCGCAUAUGCCCUGAGGGGGAAAGGAGGGGAUCGCAAGACCUUUCGCUUUCGGAGUGGCCGAUAUCAGAUUAGCUUGUUGGUGAGGUAAAGGCUCACCAAGGCGACGAUCUGUAGCGGGUCUGAGAGGAUGAUCCGCCACACUGGGACUGAGACACGGCCCAGACUCCUACGGGAGGCAGCAGUGGGGAAUUUUGGACAAUGGGGGCAACCCUGAUCCAGCCAUGCCGCGUGAGUGAAGAAGGCCUUCGGGCUGUAAAGCUCUUUCGGACAGAAAGAAAUCGCACUUACUAAUACUGAGUGUGGAUGACGGUACUGUAAGAGGAAGCACCGGCUAACUACGUGCCAGCAGCCGCAGUAAUAC